rnacentral:rRNA from 1 species
UACAGAGGGUGCGAGCGUUGUCCGGAAUCACUGGGCGUAAAGGGCGCGUAGGUGGUUGGGUAAGCGUGUGGUGAAAGCCCGGGGCUCAACCCCGGGUCGGCCAUGCGAACUGCCCGACUGGAGCACGGUAGAGGCCAAUGGAAUUCCGGGUGUAGCGGUGGAAUGCGUAGAUAUCGAGAGGAACACCAGAGGUGAAGACGGGUUGCUGGGCCGACACUGACGCUGACAGCGCGAAAGCCAGGGGAGCAAACGGG